rnacentral:RNase_P_RNA from 1 species
ACGGGCCGGCAGACGGCCGCGUGCCCCUCCCGUUCGCGGGAUGAGGGCACGAGGAACGUCCGGGCUCCACAGGGCAGGAUGGUGGCUAACGGCCACUCGGGGCAACCCGCAGGACAGUGCCACAGAAAGCAGACCGCCCGCCCGGUCGGUGUUCGCACCGAACGGCGCAGGUGAGGGUGAAAGGGUGGUGUAAGAGACCACCAGCGGCCCCGGUGACGGGGUCGGCUCGGUAAACCCCAUCCGGAGCAAGGCCGAACAGGAUGCGUUCGAAGGCUGCCCGCCUGAGCAUCCGGGUUGGCCGCUCGAGCCUGCCGGCAACGGCAGGCCUAGAUGGAUGGCCGUCACCUCGGCUGGAGCGAUCCGGCCGAGGCACAGAACCCGGCGUACCGCCGGCCCGUUCCC